rnacentral:rRNA from 1 species
CCCUUAGAUGUUCUGGGCUGCACGCGUGCUACACUGAUUACUUCAACAAGUGUUUUAACUGGAGAGUUCGCGUAAUCCUGAAAUGUUAUCGUGAUGGGAGUAGAGUAUUGUAUUUGUUAAUCUUUAACGAGGAAUUCCUAGUAAGUGUAGGUUUAUAAGUUGUUCUGAUUACGUCCCUGCCCUUUGUACACACCGCCCGUCGCUCCUACCGAUUGAAUUGUCCGAUGAAAUUUUUGGAUUGCGGGUUUUGUUUUACUGUUAGUUCGCUAGUAGUAACGCCUGUGAGAAGUUAAUUUAAUCUUACAAUUUAGAGGAAGGAGAAGUCGUGACA